CAUAAUACCGCUUCCGCCGGCGCCGGACGGGCCUGAAAACCUCGACGGCAUAAAAGGGAACACAGCAAAACUGUGGCCGCCCCCGCGACUGUGAGCAGCGAGACCGCAUCCACCCGAGCCACUGGUUUUACCGGGAAGGCCGAUGCGGCCGCCGACCUGCGAGCCAGGAGACCUGCCGGCCGAACGACUGUUCGU
rnacentral:ncRNA from 15 species